UGCAUUGGAUUGAGAACAAUGUACAACUCUUAUCGAUAAGCCAUUGGAGGGCAAGUCUGGUGCCAGCAGCCGCGGUAAUUCCAGCUCCAAUAGCGUAUAUUAACGUUGUUGCAGUUAAAAAGCUCGUAGUUGAAGUGUGGGUGAUCGCUGUUGUGAGACUUCGGUCUCUCGACAGUAAGUCACCCCCUUCCAGUAUCCAGUAGUGGGUAUUCAGUUACUUACUACUGUGUGUUGGUCCUUUACUGUGAGAAAAUUAGAGUGUUCAAAGCAGGCGUUUGCUUGAAUAGAUUAGCAUGGAAUAAUAAUUGAAGGCUUUCGUGUUCGAUUUGAUUGGUUUGUUCAUGGAAGCAAGGUUAAAAGGAACAGUUGGGGGUAUUCAUAUUCACUAGUUAGAGGUGAAAUUCUCGGAUUUAUGGAAGAUGAACAAGUGCCGAAAG
rnacentral:rRNA from 1 species